rnacentral:rRNA from 1 species
GGAGCUAAUACCGGAUAAUAUUUUGAACCGCAUGGUUCAAAAGUGAAAGACGGUCUUGCUGUCACUUAUAGAUGGAUCCGCGCUGCAUUAGCUAGUUGGUAAGGUAACGGCUUACCAAGGCAACGAUGCAUAGCCGACCUGAGAGGGCGAUCGGCCACACUGGAACUGAGACACUGUCCAG